GUGCCGGUUUCUGACGCUGGCAUCUGUCCCCUGAUGGAAAGGAAAUUGUGUGUUUUGUACAGGCAAUUGAAAUCCGGGCCCUGCUUCCAGGCGUCAUGGAGAACCUGCUGUUUGCCAACACAGCCAUUACUGUGAAGGUGCUGAAUAUCUUCAGGAAUGCAAUGCACCAUCUGGGGAAGAGGCAUGCCAGUCCGUUUGCUCUGGAGCUGGCUGAGAAGAUCCUGCCUCUUUUUAAUCACGUAAGUCUGUUGUGGGAGGCUGAGCUCUGCGGGUGGGUGCUUGACAGGAGCGUCUUCUCCUUUCUUUCCUUCUCUGGGCUCUCAGGAAUGACAUGUCCUGUGGGCUCUGUAGCACUGCUGGCCGUGUCCCUGCUAGUGCAGCUUGGUUGUUCUUGGUGAUGUCAGGCCCCUGUGCUGGGGCUCAGCCUACACUCAUGCUCACCAUGGGCAGUGAGUGUGUGCUGCUGAGGUCUGACGUCCUUCCGCUGUCCCUCAGGCAUCUUCUGAAGUGCGAGAAGGUUCCAUCCGCCUCUUCACGGAUGUGAUGGAUGCUGUGCUGUGGUCUCAGAAGGGAAGCAUGAAGAAGACCGUGCGCAGGGCCCUGCUCCCUCUGCUCUUUCACAUGAGUGACGAGACCCCUGAGCGUAGCACAGGUACGAAUUUCAGAGCUGAGCAGUGUGCAGGCAGUGGUGUGCUGACAGCUCAGCAGUGAUGUGCAAUUGAGAGCAAGUUGAGCAAGCAUUCAGACACUGGGAUGUGUGUUUGUGUGUGUUGUACCAUGUCCCUGCAUCUGUUGUUCUGUAGGCAUCUGGGGAAGCCCUUGUGUCCUGUGCAAAGUUCCUGAAGUGGAAGGAGCUCAAGCAGCAGGCCUGGCAGAAGAACACAGCGGGGAUCAUGAAGUGUUUGGUGAGGACAAUCUCACAGCCCCCACCUUUUUGCUGGGGGAAAGGGGAUGCUGGAGGAGGGGUUGCAGCAGCAGCUGUGGACACUCUGCAAACCCAUGCUCUUGUGCUCUUCUUCAGCUGCAGAAGGACAGAAAGGGAGUGGAAGGCCAACUGCAGCAGAGCCUACCAUACCUGGAGGAUUCUCAGGCCUCCUUGCGAUGCGAGGCUGUCAGAUUCAUUGUGAGCCCAACCCUGAGUCCCUCUUUGGGCCCUGCCCUGGCAGGAAGGCACAGCCCUGAAGCCCCCAGGUACAGCCUGCCCAUGCCGGUAGCCCCAGUGGGUGCCUUGCUCAGGUCCCCCCUCGGGCGUCGUAUGGGGGAGUGGGUGUCUGACGGAGUUCUUUCCCUAGGGCUGAUUGGGAAGCACUCCAGGGAGCAGAGUGAGGAGAUGCUGAAUGAACUCUGCAGUGCCCUUCAGCCUUUGGAAGAUGACCCCCAUCUGGCAGUCCGUGUUGUGGCAUCUGAGACCAUCCAGAUACUGAGACACCAAAGGCAGAAGGCGGCACCAGCACGGAGAAGGCUCCCAGCACUUUUCCGCUGGUCCUGCAUAGCCUUCUGAGGGAUAAUUCUUGUUCAUUAACGUUGGAUCCUUCAGUUUUCAUGUCUCUUACCAUCUCUCUUCCAGGAGAUCUUGCGAAGAAAGGCUUUUCCU
ensembl:lncRNA